GUCCUAAGUUGUUGCUGACCAAUGUUCUUCGUAUCUGCCUGUGCUGAACAAAGAUGGCACCAAUUGCCAGCCCCAUCCACCAUGGUUUAUGAUUUCUCCAUGCUAGAGGCUGAUGCAAUUCCCAUGGAAGUCGAUGGAAGGUUAUCAAGACUUACAGGAAUAAUUUAACACAGCUAAACAUCUAAUUUGUCUUCAAAGAUAUGGGGAGAAAAAGGCAACAAUUGAUGUGAGGAAUUACAGUCCCUCAAAUUAUUUUAUGGAAGAUUGUGCUGGUGCCUCAGGAGCUAAAACCUCCAAGAAU